GCAGCAGGUUCGAGCCGAACGUAGUGAGGCACCGGAGCCGUUUACGGCGACGGCCCGAAGGGCGAGCGAAGCGAGUCAUCCUGCACGACCCACCA
rnacentral:sRNA from 1 species